CAUAAAUAGCCGAGAUUCCGCCAUUAUAGUUCUUUGCGUGCGUUGAACUUGUGGUCGGAGCAUGUGAACGAGUUGUACUGCGCCUGGGGGCCGCUGUGGCUACUCGCCCUACACCAGAGGGAGGGGGCGGCCCCCGCGUCCUGAGAUGUCGGUGCCAAGCUUCUUUCGUACUAGAGUUUCUGAUGUGCACGUGACGCCACCGUUUGGAACUGACCCAGCCCAGGGCAGGGGGCUACUCGGCUGGAGUCGCCCCUGGCCUCUACUGACUCACUGGUUUCUUCCCAGGGCCAUGGUCUUCGCAGGCUGGUCCGUAGCGCCACGAAGGUGUUUUAAGUUGCCCGCCGUGUGUUAUCCUUGAAUAAAGUAUGAUUAUUGUAGAAGCCUAGCUGGGGCAGUGCCCUUUCACAGCCUAAUCUGGUGACUGAAGGGCUGAAGUUGGGAACUUACCCACUUGGAAAAGUGCGGUUGAGACGUUGGUGUCGCCUAGAUAAUGGCUCCUGCCAUUUGAAUCUGUGGGCUGUGAUGAGGAGUGAAGAGCCAUGUCCUUUAUCCCUGGCUCCUAUGGGCUUUGCUAACUGGAGGAUGUGUUCUAUCUGGUGUUGAGCAAAUCCUAGGAACUUCAUCUAGCUGUCCUGCAUUAACCUGUGAGCAGCUUUCAACUUAACAGGAGAAAAAACUGCAUAGAAAUUUUGAGACACUUUAAAUAUUUAGACCAUGUUGACUUCUUUAUUGUAAUCAAAUACUUGGUUUUGUCAAGGAUUGUAAUAAAAUACUUUAGUGCAAAGUAAAA